CCUACGGGUGGCUGCAGUGAGGAAUCUUGCGCAAUGGGCGAAAGCCUGACGCAGCGACGCCGCGUGGAGGAUGAAGGUCUUCGGAUUGUAAACUUCUGUUAAGUGGGAAGAAACGCACGGAAAUAAUACUUCCGUGUAAUGACGGUACCAUUAUAGAAAGCACCGGCUAACUUCGUGCCAGCAGCCGCGGUAAUACGAAGGGUGCUAGCGUUAUUCGGAAUUAUUGGGCGUAAAGGGUGCGCAGGCGGUAUAUUAAGUCAGUCGUUCAAUUUCCC
rnacentral:rRNA from 1 species